rnacentral:rRNA from 1 species
CCUACGGGUGGCAGCAGUGAGGAAUAUUGCUCAAUGGGCGCAACCCUGAACCAGCCACGUAGCGUGAAGGAUGACUGCCCUACGGAUUUUCAACUUCUUUUAUAAAGGAAUAAAGUGAUGCACGUGUGCCUUUUUGUAUGUACUUUCUGCAUAAGAAUCGGCUAACUCCGUGCCAGCAGCCGCGGUAAUACGGAGGAUCCGAGCGUUAUCCGGAUUUAUUGGGUUUAAAGGGAGCGUAGAUGGGUUGUUAAGUCAGUUGUGAAAGUUUGCGGCUCAACCGUAAAAUUGCAAUUGAUACUGGCAGUCUUGAGUACAGUUGAGGUAGGUGGAAUUCGUGGUGUAGCGGUGAAAUGCUUAGAUAUCACGAAGAACUCCGAUUGCGAAGGCAGCUUACUAAACUGUAACUGACAUUGAUGCUCGAAAGUGUGGGUAUCAAACAGGAUUAGAUACCCCUGUAGUC